rnacentral:rRNA from 1 species
GGUUGACCUCGGAUCAGGUAGGGAUACCCGCUGAACUUAAGCAUAUCAAUAAGCGGAGGAAAAGAAACCAACCGGGAUUGCCUCAGUAACGGCGAGUGAAGCGGCAAGAGCUCAAAUUUGAAAUCUGGCCCCUCCGGGGUCCGAGUUGUAAUUUGUAGAGGAUGCUUCGGGUGCGGCCCCCGUCUAAGUGCUCUGGAACGGGCCAUCGGAGAGGGUGAGAAUCCCGUCUGGGACGGGGUGUCCGCGUCCAUGUGAAGCUCCUUCGACGAGUCGAGUUGUUUGGGAAUGCAGCUCUAAAUGGGUGGUAAAUUUCAUCUAAAGCUAAAUACUGGCCGGAGACCGAUAGCGCACAAGUAGAGUGAUCGAAAGAUGAAAAGCACUUUGAAAAGAGAGUUAAACAGCACGUGAAAUUGUUGAAAGGGAAGCGCUUGCGACCAGACUCGCUUCCGGGGUUCAGCCGGCUUUCGGGCCGGUGUACUUCCCCGGGGGCGGGCCAGCGUCGGUUUGGGCGGCCGGUCAAAGGCCCCUGGAAUGUAACGCCUCUCGGGGCGCCUUAUAGCCAGGGGUGUCAUGCGGCCAGCCUGGACCGAGGAACGCGCUUCGGCAC